GAUGAACGCUGGCGGCGUGCCUAAUACAUGCAAGUCGAGCGAACAGACGAGGAGCUUGCUCCUCUGACGUUAGCGGCGGACGGGUGAGUAACACGUGGAUAACCUACCUAUAAGACUGGGAUCACUUCGGGAAACCGGAGCUAAUACCGGAUAACAUGUUGAACCGCAUGGUUCAACAGUGAAAGACGGCUUUGCUGUCACUUAUAGAUGGAUCCGCGUCGCAUUAGCUAGUUGGUAAGGUAACGGCUUACCAAGGCAACGAUGCGUAGCCGACCUGAGAGGGUGAUCGGCCACACUGGAACUGAGACACGGUCCAGACUCCUACGGGAGGCAGCAGUAGGGAAUCUUCCGCAAUGGGCGAAAGCCUGACGGAGCAACGCCGCGUGAGUGAAGAAGGUCUUCGGAUCGUAAAACUCUGUUAUUAGGGAAGAACAAAUGUGUAAGUAACUAUGCACGUCUUGACGGUACCUAAUCAGAAAGCCACGGCUAACUACGUG
rnacentral:rRNA from 1 species